CCUACGGGAGGCAGCAGUGAGGAAUAUUGGUCAAUGGCCGAGAGGCUGAACCAGCCAAGUCGCGUGAGGGAAGACUGCCCUAUGGGUUGUAAACUUCUUUUGUAGGGGAGUAAAGCGAGUCACGUGUGCCUUUUUGAGUGUACUUGAUGAAUAAGCAUCGGCUAACUCCGUGCCAGCAGCCGCGGUAAUACGGAGGAUGCGAGCGUUAUCCGGAUUUAUUGGGUUUAAAGGGAGCGUAGGUGGAGGUGUAAGUCAGCGGUCAAAUUGUGGGGCUCAACCUCAUACUGCCAUUGAAACUGCAAGCCUUGAGUACAGGAGAGGUAUGCGGAAUGCGUGGUGUAGCGGUGAAAUGCAUAGAUAUCACGCAGAACUCCGAUUGCGAAGGCAGCAUACCAACGCGCGACUGACACUGAUGCACGAAAGCGUGGGUAUCAAACAGGAUUAGAUACCCGAGUAGUC
rnacentral:rRNA from 1 species